rnacentral:rRNA from 1 species
AUUGAACGCUGGCGGCAGGCCUAACACAUGCAAGUCGAGCGGAGCGGAGAACGGGUGAGUAAUGCCUAGGAAUCUACCUGGUAGUGAGGGCUAACGUCCGGAACCGGGCGCUAAUACCGCAUACUAUCAGAUGAGCCUAGGUCGGAUUAGAUAGUUGGUCGGGUAAAGGCCUACCAAGGCGACGAUCCGUAACUGGGCUGAGAGGAUGAUCAGUCAAACUGUAACUGAGACACGGUCCAGACUCCUACGGGAGGCAGCAGUGGGGAAUAUUGGACAAUGGGCGAAAGCCUGAUCCAGCAAUGCGGCGUGAGUGAAGAAGGUCUUCGGAUUGUAAAGCACUUUAAGUUGGGAGGCGGUACCAACAGAAUAAGCACCGGCUAACUUCGUGCCAGCAGCCGCGGUAAUUC